GAUGAACGCUGGCGGCGUGCUUAACACAUGCAAGUCGAACGAAGCACUUUAUUUGAUUUCCUUCGGGACUGAUUAUUUUGUGACUGAGUGGCGGACGGGUGAGUAACGCGUGGGUAACCUGCCUUGUACAGGGGGAUAACAGUUGGAAACGGCUGCUAAUACCGCAUAAGCGCACGGCAUCGCAUGAUGCAGUGUGAAAAACUCCGGUGGUAUAAGAUGGACCCGCGUUGGAUUAGCUAGUUGGUGAGGUAACGGCCCACCAAGGCGACGAUCCAUAGCCGAACUGAGAGGGUGACCGGCCACAUUGGGACUGAGACACGGCCCAAACUCCUACGGGAGGCAGCAGUGGGGAAUAUUGCACAAUGGGCGAAAGCCUGAUGCAGCGACGCCGCGUGAGCGAAGAAGUAUUUCGGUAUGUAAAGCUCUAUCAGCAGGGAAGAUAAUGACGGUACCUGAAGAAGAAGCACCGGCUAAAUACGUG
rnacentral:rRNA from 1 species